GGCCCUUAAAGUGGAAGUACAGGACAGCGUUCUAGAGGGCGAAUAGAUUUAAGAAUCGGAGUGUUUUAGAAGAACGACGACGAUCAAGCCGGAAUGGAUGAAGACGUAAAUAUCCGAGUUACGCGGUCCUCAACAUACGCGGAUUCGGAGAUACCCCUAUCGACAAACUGCUCGCCUGAGAGUGAAUUUCGAGUAAAAUUCACGGCUUCACAAGCGGCUUCACAAAAGCUUCACAGCAGAUCUUGUGAAGCCGUUUUUUGAGAGUGUGUGCGUGAGAUUUAUUAUUUCAUGAGCGCGUUUUCCCGUGUAGACCCGAACAUCGAAAGACCAGAUCGCCACCAUAAGUCCAGAAGUCCACCACCAAACCAAGCAAUAGUACCGUCAUGAACACCACACCAUAUCACAAUGAAGCAAUAGGAUUACACAAUCAAUGGUGCAGGUGUGCAGAGAGCGAGAGAAACGGACCAAAAAAUGGAGGGCCAUGUAAACCGAUGAGCCAUGUAAAAAAUGGUCCGAAGGAAGAGAUGUUUCCUAUGUGCUAGCAUAGGACAAAAAAGAGAAACGGACCAUUCCUAGCAUUCCAUUGCAGAGCGCGAGUUAACAACCACCGUUGUCAACACAGCAUUUUCCAGUGUUGUCAACCGCCACCAGCCACUGCACCGAUAUAUUGCUCAGAUCAGCAAACAGCGUCGAUCAGCAAACCGUGUUGAUCGACUGACCUACUCACCAGUUGCAAAACAUCCAAUUGCCGAAUCAGCAAUAGUCAGCAAGAAUCGUCGAUACCUUCCCCUUCCCCAUCCAAUUCCCAGUAAGUUACUUGUAUGUAAAUUAAAAUUAAUAAAGUUACUCCGAUUUUGACCACAGAAGAAGCAAGUGUCGAUUUCCUUUGUGUCCGAACCCUAUUGUUUUUUUAACUGGCGCCCGAAUAGGGACCUUCGUGAUAAAAGUGAGGUGAAGUAAUAUUGAAAAUUAAACCUGCACACGUUACAUGAAGAGUGAAAGUUCCUGCACAUCGUGACAUCUCUCUCGAUUGACGCCGAGGACCCGUAGUAGAUUAAUCAUCCAAAAGGACCAUCCGGAGCAUCCCGCAAACUUUCAUCCCAACACCGGAACGUUACAUCAAUUUUCCAACUCGAGACACUACGUGGACAUCGAUUCGUGGACAUCGCUACGCUGACAUCGCUUCGUGGACAUCGCUACGUUGACAUCGCUUCGUGGACAUCGCUACGUGGACAACGAUGAGCUGCAUUUGCUUCAAAGUCUGCAUAAUUCUACUGUGAGUCAUUACGAGUCAAUUUAAUUUACUCUAAUAUAAUUUAAAUUUUUAUAAUUGUGAAUACGUGGUGUGAAAAAAGUGAACAGUGAAUGUUAGUUACAUUAGAGGAAAGUUUAGAUUGAGUGAACUUAACGUAAAAUUUCUCUUAGUUAACAUUUGAUUUGAAGGUGAUAAAAUUUCUCCAUCAUUUUUCGUAAAAUUAGACGUUUCGAAAUCCAAUCAAAAAAUAGAAUAAUGAAUCCGCAGGAACAGUCUAGUUCAAUACCAGCCGUACAAUCCACCAUGACUCAUCAUGAAUACAUUCAGUUAGGUAAAGUGCCAGAUUUCGUAAAUAACCUUCCUGAAUUCCAUGGACACGGAUCUAGCCUUCCAAGAUGGAUUUUAGAAGUGGAAAAUAUUUUUAAAAUUUAUGAACGUCUUCCUCAUGAUUCAAUUGAAUACCAUAUUAUCUUGGCAACAAUCCGAAGGAAAAUUAAAGGCGAAGCAGCUGACGUUUUGGAUUCGAAUUGUGCUACAUCGGAUUGGAACGUAAUUAAAAGAACUCUUCUCCUUUAUUACAAGGACAAAAGAGAUCUAAAAACUUUGGACCUUGCAUCAGGAUUUCAUCAGGUAAAGAUGCAUGAGCAAGAUAUUGAGAAAACCGCUUUUGCCGUAAAUAACGGAAAAUAUGAAUUCACCAGAAUGCCAUUUGGCCUAAAAAAUGCUCCAGCUAUCUUUCAGCGAGCUAUAGAUGAUGUUCUGCGUGAAUAUAUAGGAAAAAAAUGUUACAUCU